rnacentral:ncRNA from 1 species
GAUAGACCACAAGGUAGGUGCUGACAUAAAACAACCCAGAGGUAUGUCCCUUUCUACUAUCUAGCGAAGCCACAGCCAAGGGAACGGGCUUGGAAUAAUUAGCGGGGAAAGAAGACCCUGUUGAGCUUGACUCUAAUCUGGCAGUGUAAGGAGACAUAAGAGGUGUAGAAUAAGUGGGAGAUAUGUUUUCGGUUGUUUUCCUUACUUACAUGAUUAAGUGGAACGUGUAUCAUUUCUUAGCCAUUAUACGGACAUAUUUAUAUGUCUUAUGGUAUUGGGUUUUGAUGCAGGUUUCUUGAUCAAAGUACUAAGAGUUUGUUAUAUAAUUGUAAACAAAUUUCGAUGAGAUGAUGGCAUUUCGGUGUUAUUGUCAAUAUUUGAAAUUUGGUAUAACUCCCAUGACUCAGGUAUGAUCCAAUUCAUGGUCAUUGUCAGGUAGGGAGUUUGACUGGGGCGGUACAUUUCUCAAAUAAUAACGAAGGUGUCCGAAGGCCAGCUCAGUGCGGACAGAAACCACACAUAGAGCAAAAGGGCAAAUAACUGGCUUGUGGCGGGCAAGCGUUUAUGGCGACGUCGCUUUUUGAUCCUUCGAUGUCGGCUCUUCCUAUCAUUGUGAAGCAAAAUUCACCAAGCGUUGGAUUGUUCACCCAUGCAAGGGAACGUGAGCUGGGUUUAGACCGCCGUGAGGCAGGUUAGUUUUACCCUACUAAUAACAAUAUGUUGUUACGACAGCAUUCCUGCGUAGUACGAGAGGAACCGCAGGUACGGACCUAUGGCACAAUACUUGUUCGAGCGAACAGUGGUAUGACGCUACGUCCGUUGGAUUAUGCCUGAACGCCUCUAAGGUCGUAUCCGAGCUGGACUGCAAUGAUUAAUAUGGGGCAAUUGCAUUGUAUGGCUCUUAAACCAUUUAAAGUUUAUUUCUGAUAAACGACAAUGGAUGUGAUGCUAAUGUUAUUUGUAACAUAGCAAACGUAGAAGGAUACUAUCACCUGCAUGCCGGUAUAGUUACUUAUAAAAUCGUUAUUUAAUACAAUGACAAUGCCUCGAUUAAAUUGUAAACGACUUUUUUAACGGGCAAGGUCUUGUAAGUGGUAGAGCAGCUGGCAUGCUGCGAUCCACUGAAACUUAUCCUCUGCUUGACGAUUC